CGUAACGCGUAUGCAAUCUACCUAUACGAGGGGAUAGCUCAGAGAAAUUGGAUUAAUACCCAUAGUAUAAUUGAAUGGCAUCAUUUAAUUAUUAAAGUUCCAACGGUAUAAGAUGAGCAUGCGUCCCAUUAGCUAGUUGGUGUGGUAACGGCACACCAAGGCGACGAUGGGUAGGGGUCCUGAGAGGGAGAUCCCCCACACUGGUACUGAGACACGGACCAGACUCCUACGGGAGGCAGCAGUGAGGAAUAUUGGUCAAUGGGCGCAAGCCUGAACCAGCCAUGCCGCGUGCAGGAUGACGGUCCUAUGGAUUGUAAACUGCUUUUGUACAGGAAGAAACACUCCCUCGUGAGGGAGCUUGACGGUACUGUAAGAAUAAGGAUCGGCUAACUCCGUG
rnacentral:rRNA from 1 species